CAAAGGUGAGCCAGUACAGGAUGGACCCGCGUCUGAUUAGCUAGUUGGUAAGGUAACGGCUUACCAAGGCGACGAUCAGUAGCCGACCUGAGAGGGUGAUCGGCCACAUUGGAACUGAGACACGGUCCAAACUCCUACGGGAGGCAGCAGUGGGGAAUAUUGCACAAUGGGCGAAAGCCUGAUGCAGCAACGCCGCGUGAGUGAUGAAGGCCUUCGGGUCGUAAAACUCUGUCCUCAAGGAAGAUAAUGACGGUACUUGAGGAGGAAGCCCCGGCUAACUACGUGCCAGCAGCCGCGGUAAUACGUAGGGGGCUAGCGUUACCCGGAUUUACUGGGCGUAAAGGGUGCGUAGGCGGUCUUUCAAGUCAGGAGUGAAAGGCUACGGCUCAACCGUAGUAAGCUCUUGAAACUGGGAGACUUGAGUGCAGGAGAGGAGAGUGGAAUUCCUAGUGUAGCGGUGAAAUGCGUAGAUAUUAGGAGGAACACCAGUUGCGAAGGCGGCUCUCUGGACUGUAACUGACGCUGAGGCACGAAAGCGUGGGGAGCAAACAGGAUUAGAUACCCUGGUAGUCCACGCUGUAAACGAUGAGUACUAGGUGUCGGGGGUUACCCCCUUCG
rnacentral:rRNA from 1 species